rnacentral:rRNA from 1 species
UAUACCGCGAAACUGCGAAUGGCUCAUUAAAUCAGUUAUCGUUUAUUUGAUAGUGCCUUUCCUACUUGGAUAACCGUGGUAAUUCUAGAGCUAAUACAUGCUAAAAAUCCCGACUUCGGAAGGGAUGCAUUUAUUGGAUACAGAACCAACGCCCUCCGGGGCUUUCUGGUGAAUCACAAUAACUCCGCGGAUCGCACGGCCUUGCGCCGGCGAUGGUUCAUUCAAAUUUCUGCCCUAUCAACUUUCGACGGCUGGGUCUUGGCCAGCCGUGGUGACAACGGGUAACGGAGGGUUAGGGCUUGACCCCGGAGAAGGAGCCUGAGAGACGGCUACUACAUCCAAGGAAGGCAGCAGGCGCGCAAAUUACCCAAUCCCGACUCGGGGAGGUAGUGACAAUAAAUACUGAUCCAGGGCUCUUUUGGGUCUUGGAAUUGGAAUGAGUACAAUUUAAAUCCCUUAACGAGGAACAAUUGGAGGGCAAGUCUGGUGCCAGCAGCCGCGGUAAUUCCAGCUCCAAUAGCGUAUAUUAAAGUUGUUGAGGUUAAAAAGCUCGUAGUUGAACCUUGGCCCUGGCUGGCUGGUCCGCCUCACCGCGAGCACUGGUCCGGCCGGGGCUUUCCCUCUGGGGAUCCUCAUGCCCUUCACUGGGUGUGCUGGGGAACCAGGACUUUUACUGUGAACAAAUCAGAUCGCUCAAAGAAGGCUCUCGCUCGAAUGCUUCAGCAUGGAAUAAUGAAAUAGGACGCGCGGUUCUAUUUUGUUGGUUUCUAGGACCGCCGUAAUGAUUAAUAGGGACAGUCGGGGGCGUCAGUAUUCAAUUGUCAGAGGUGAAAUUCUUGGAUCAAUUGAAGACUAACUACUGCGAAAGCAUUCGCCAAGGAUGUUUUCAUUAAUCAGGAACGAAAGUUAUGGGAUCGAAGACGAUCAGAUACCGUCGUAGUCUUAACCAUAAACUAUGCCGAUUAGGGAUCGGACGAU